GACAGAGGGUGCGAGCGUUAAUCGAAAUUACUGGGCGUAAAGAGUACGUAGGCGGAAAAGUAAGUCGGUGUGUGAAAAAUCGGGGCUCAACCUCGGGACUGCAUACGAUACUGUUUUCUAGAGUUUGGCAGAGGUAAGUGGAAUUUCCGGUGUAGCGGUGAAAUGCUUAGAUAUCGGAAGGAACACCAGUGGCGAAGGCGGCUUACUGGGCCAAUACGUGACGCUGAGGUACGAAAGCGUGGGGAGCAAACAGG
rnacentral:rRNA from 1 species